UAACCAGUCUGGUGCCGCACAUGAAUGACUCGGGUGCAGCACACGAAUAAGUACACUGAUAGAAGGAUUUGUUUAGGAAUGCUUAGCAAGUGUGUGUGAAAAGAAUACGUAAAUUUAGUCGUCUUAAUUAUUAUUUAAUAUUUAUCUACAUUCAGUAUUCAAUACCGCCAAGUUUCUCAGAAAGUUUGGCGCCAGUAUGGAGCCGCAACUGGAAUGCAAGUUUCUGAGAAAAUUGAACGAAAAUUUACCGUCAACUUAUGAUUGCCAACUUUUGCAAGCAACUUUUGCCACCAACUUUCUCAGAAAGUGACCGAAUAAAAUCGAACAACGAGGAAAUUACGACCUGAUUGAUUUUGAUCAUUUGGGGCCCAGUUACAUGUUCACUGAAGCGGUUUUACUGUGGGGCUUGUUUAUCUUUGGAAUUAAAGUUCUCUUUCAUAAGCAUUCGAAAAUUUCCAGACAAAUCAAAAUGCGCCGAUAUUUUAGGAACAAAAUUUCUGUAAGAUCGCAGCCGAGAAUCAUUUUCUUUUCCGGGCGAAUGGUUCUCUCAAACAAUCGCAAUCGGGCUUAAAUAAAAAAAUAAUAAAUUAAACAUUCGGGCUGAGAAAACAACCGAAAAAACCGAAAUCUAAAAAUCUCAUAGUACUUUAUCGCAAAAAUGUUGUUCUGAAUUUUUAAAUUUUCGAGUGUGUGUUGAUUUGUCAUCACCAGUUAUUUGCGACUGAAAUUAUGUCAUAAAUUAAAUUGAUACUUGUUGUGAAUUGUUACCUACUACUUGAUAUGUAUCAAUUAUUCUAAUUCAUAAAUAAAAAUUUCAUUGAG